rnacentral:rRNA from 1 species
UACGUGAGGGCGCAAGCGUUGUCCGGAAUUAUUGGGCGGUAAAGAGCUCGGUAGGCGGCUUGUCACGUCGAUUGUGAAAGCCCGAGGCUUAACCUCCGGGUCUGCAGUCGAUACGGGCUAGCUAAGAGUUGUGGUAGGGGAGAUCGGAAUUCCUGGUGAGCGGUGAAAUGCGCAGAUAUCAAGGAGGAACACCGGUGGCGAAGGCAGGUCUCUGGGCCAUAACUGACGCUGAGAAGCGAAAGCAUGGGGAGCGAAACAGGA